rnacentral:rRNA from 1 species
GCACGUAGGGGGCGAGCGUUGUCCGGAAUUACUGGGCGUAAAGGGCGCGUAGGCGGUCUAAUAAGUCAGAUGUGAAACCCCCGGGCUUAACCCUGGGCUUGCAUUUGAAACUGUUGGACUUGAGGACAGGAGAGGAAAGCGGAAUUCCCAGUGUAGCGGUGAAAUGCGUAGAUAUUGGGAGGAACACCAGUGGCGAAGGCGGCUUUCUGGACUGCCCCUGACGCUGAGGCGCGAAAGCCAGGGUAGCGAACGGGAUUAGGUACCCCGGUAGUCCUGGCCGUAAACGAUGGAUACUAGGUGUGGGAGGUAUCGACCCCUUCCGUGCCGUAGCCAACGCACUAAGUAUCCCGCCUGGGGAGUACGGCCGCAAGGCUGAA